GCAGGUGUGAUGUAAUUGACAAGAUGAGGCUUUUGUAAAGCUUUCUUGCCAGUUCAAAUCUCGCCAUCUGCU
rnacentral:tRNA from 1 species